rnacentral:lncRNA from 1 species
CCACUCUGCCUUGCAGACACGGAAAAAGAGAAGUCCCAGAUUUUCUGACUGUGCAUUUCACACUUCUUGAAUGUCUACUUCAAUCAAGAAAUGUCUGGACCUGGGCUCCAAAACCAUCAGCAGGCCACGAUAUCCAUCUGCAACUGAGAAACGUUUCGUUUUACAAACCAGUGAGACCAACAGGCUUACAGUAAUGAUUUAAGUCUUUUUUGCAUAACAAACUUACAAAGUUUACUAAAUCCACUUCGAGGAAAAUAUUGUCAAUCAUUGUCAGGGUAGUAUAAGUUUAUGGCAAUAAAACCUCAAGGGUGGUAGAGGGAUGACUUCAGACUGGGAAACACUUGGGCAAGAUCUUUCCCUUCCCGACGCCACCCGCUGCUCUCCCACGCUGGCCUCCCUCUCCAGGACUUGCCUGACUAUUUCAGAAAGGUCAGGACACCAGCAGAAGACCAAGCCAGAGGUGGGCAUGGCUCAAACGGAUGCUCUCCCCAUCAACACAUCGUUUCUACACCGCAUCCUUGCACUGAUGAGGCCAGUCUGUGGGCCACACUGAAAACCUCAACCCCUCAUUAGCUUUCCCUCGGAUUCCCUCACUUUGCAAUAAAACUCUGAGCCAGGCUCAGCUCUGUGGAAUCUCAUUCAUCAGCAAUCACUCUAAGGCUAAGCAGGCCUCUGCCUGGGCUGCAUGUGGGCAGAUCAGAUGUCCGGUGGCUGCUGAUGUGGUGAGCACUGGCACAGAGCGAUGUGGUGGUGACUUGAGGUCUCAGGAAAGAACUGGGGGUUUCCAUUAUCCUGGGCUUCCUGGGUAAUGCAAUCUGAAAAUCAAUUCUCAUUAAACACAAGUGAUACUAAUACCUCUGACAGGUUACAUCUUAAAUGAUAAUUAAAAGCAUAUUUCCUGACACUUGGCUGCUAUGAAAUGCAGCCCUAUUUAUGCCACUGAGGAGGCCUCACAGUGAGGCCCUGUGGACAGCCCCCCCAGGAAGCGUCCGAGGUCCUGGAUUGUCACUCAUUAUUUUAAUCUGAUUUUCUUUACUCAAGUAAAAUAGAACCUGGCAUUGGUGCUUUCUUUCACCACUUCCACCAGUGGUCCUUAAAAAACAGUUAACGUUGUCAUAAGCCAAGGAAUGAAGACUUCAUCUUCCACUAACACAGUCUUUGGUUCUAGCCAUGGAUAGCGCUUAUUAAUAAGUGCAGCUGCAUCCCACUAAGUUUUAUAAACCUCUACAAUUCAUGAGAGCUGUGGCAGCUGAGACGUUACAUCCUUCUCUGAGUGUCAUGGUGGAAAGCAUCUCAGUGUCUGAGGCCGUGGAGUGGGAAGUGGAGCUGCCAGGGUCCUCAUGGACACAGACUUUCAGGAAAAUAUGAGUUUUUACAGUGGCCAGUCACAGUUCCUGAUUUGGCACUUUUGGUAUCAAAGUGUCUAAUUUUAUCUCAAAAAUUUUCUAUUGGGAAUAAUGGGAAGGUUCAAUGUCUCCUACAUUUGAACUGGACUUAUUGAUCAUUAAAACAGAUCAUUAAAACAGAGGAAUAGUCAACCAGACCCAAACAAGAAAAAACAUAUCCAUCCUAUGUUACAUUAGCUUCCCAGGGCUGCCAAAACAAAGUACCACAAACGCAGAGGCUGAAAAGAGCAGAAAUUGAUCAUCUCACAGUCUGGAGGCCGGAAGUCUGCAAUCGAGGUGUUGGCAAGGUUGUGCUUUCUCCGAGGCCUCUAGAGAGGAUCCUUCCUGCCUCCUCCAGCUCCUGGUUGCCCCAUGCAUUCCCUGGCUUGUGGCCACAUUGCUCCAGUCUCUGCCUUUCUUUUAACCUGGCUAUUUUCCCUGUGUUUUUUUCUUUUUCUUAAAAGACAUCAGUCAUCUUGGAUUAGGGGCCCACCCUACUCCAUUAUGACCUCAUGUUAACUAAUUACUUUUUUUUUUUUUUUAGAUGAAGUCUCACUCUGUCACCCAGGCUGGAGUGCAGUGGUACAAUCUCAGUUCACUGCAACCUCUGCCGCCCGGGUUCAAGCGAUUCUCCUGCCUCAGCCUCUUGAGUAGCUGGGAUUACAGGCGUGAGCCACCGCACCCGGCCAACUAAUUACAUUUUU